AUUGAACGCUGGCGGCAGGCCUAACACAUGCAAGUCGAACGAGUGGCGGACGGGUGAGUCAUGUAUGGGGAACUGCCCGAUGGAGGGGGAUAACUACUGGAAACGGUAGCUAAUACCGCAUACCAUCAGAUGUGCCCAGAUGGGAUUAGCUUGUUGGUGGGGUAAAGGCUCACCCAGGCGACGAUCCCUAGCUGGUCGGAGAGGAUGACCAGCCACAUGGGAAGUGAGACACGGCCCAGACUCCUACGGUAGGCAGCAGUGGGGAAUAUUGCACAAGGGGCGCAAGCCUGAUGCAGCCAUGCCGCGUGUAUGAAGAAGGCCUUCGGGUUGUAAAGUACUUUCAGCGGGGAGGCGUUACCCGCAGAAGAAGCACCGGCUAACUCCGUGCCAGCAGCCGCGGUAAUUC
rnacentral:rRNA from 1 species